UACCUGGUUGAUCCUGCCAGUAGUCAUAUGCUUGUCUCAAAGAUUAAGCCAUGCAAGUCUAAGUACGAGCUCUCGUACAGUGAAACUGCGAAUGGCUCAUUAAAUCAGUUAUGGUUCAUUUGAUCGUACAGUUUACUUGGAUAACUGUGGUAAUUAUAGAGCUAAUACAUGCGAGAAGCGCCGACCUCGCGGGAGGCGUGCAUUUAUCAGACCAAAAACCGGCCGCGUCUUCGGGCGCGUUCGCCUUGGUGACUCUGGAUAACUUUGCGGAUCGCACGGUCUAGCACCGGCGACGGAUCAUUCAAGUGUCUGCCCUAUCAACUUC
rnacentral:ncRNA from 1 species